rnacentral:rRNA from 1 species
AUUAAACGCCGGCGGCAUGCCUUACACAUGCAAGUCGAACGGUAGCGCGGGGCAACCUGGCGACGAGUGGCGAACGGGUGAGUAAAGCAUCGGAACGUGCCCUGGAAUGGGGGAUAACGUAGCGAAAGUUACGCUAAUACCGCAUAUUCUGUGAGCAGGAAAGCAGGGGAUCGCAAGACCUUGCGUUCUGGGAGCGGCCGAUGUCGGAUUAGCUAGUUGGUGGGGUAAAAGCCUACCAAGGCGACGAUCCGUAGCGGGUCUGAGAGGAUGAUCCGCCACACUGGGACUGAGACACGGCCCAGACUCCUACGGGAGGCAGCAGUGGGGAAUUUUGGACAAUGGGCGGAAGCCUGAUCCAGCCAUGCCGCGUGAGUGAAGAAGGCCUUCGGGUUGGUUAAAGGACUC